rnacentral:rRNA from 1 species
ACGGAAGGCAGCAGUGGGGAAUAUUGGACAAUGGGGGAAACCCUGAUCCAGUGACGCCGCGUGAGUGAAGAAGUAUUUCGGUAUGUAAAGCUCUAUCAGCAAGAAAGAAAAUGACGGUACUUGACUAAGAAGCCCCGGCUAAAUACGUGCCGGCAGCCGCGGUAAUACGUAUGGAGCAAGCGUUAUCCGGAUUUACUGGGUGUAAAAGGAGCGUAGACGGCAAAGCAAGUCCGAAGUGAAAUCCCGGGGCUCAACCCCGGAACUGCUUUGGAAACUGUUUAGCUAGAGUGCAGGAGAGGUAAGCGGAAUUCCUAGUGUAGCGGUGAAAUGCGUAGAUAUUAGGAGGAACACCAGUGGCGAAGGCGGCUUACUGGACUGUAACUGACGUUGAGGCUCGAAAGCGUGGGGAGCAAACAGGAUUAGAUACCCUGGUA